AUUGAGCGCUGGCGGCAGGCUUAACACAUGCAAGUCGAGCGGAGAUGAGGUGCUUGCACCUUAUCUUAGCGGCGGACGGGUGAGUAAUGCUUAGGAAUCUGCCUAUUAGUGGGGGACAACAUUCCGAAAGGAAUGCUAAUACCGCAUACGUCCUACGGGAGAAAGCAGGGGAUCUUCGGACCUUGCGCUAAUAGAUGAGCCUAAGUCGGAUUAGCUAGUUGGGGGGGUAAAGGCCUACCAAGGCGACGAUCUGUAGCGGGUCUGAGAGGAUGAUCCGCCACACUGGGACUGAGACACGGCCCAGACUCCUACGGGAGGCAGCAGUGGGGAAUAUUGGACAAUGGGGGCAACCCUGAUCCAGCAAUGCCGCGUGUGUGAAGAAGGCCUUCGGGUUGUAAAGCACUUUCGGUGGGGACAAACAAGGUGGAGCUAACAUCUCCGCCUCUGAUGGUACCCAAAGAAGAAGCACCGGCUAACUCUGUGCCAGCCGCCGCCGUAAAAC
rnacentral:rRNA from 1 species